rnacentral:sRNA from 1 species
CGCUCGGCUAGGGUAGCUCCCGAAAAGGCGGUCUUCCGGCCCGCUCUGCCGAUGUGUCUUUUGCCGGG